rnacentral:rRNA from 1 species
AGAGGCCUACGGGAGGCAGCAGUGGGGAAUAUUGCACAAUGGGGGAAACCCUGAUGCAGCGACGCCGCGUGAGCGAAGAAGUAUCUCGGUAUGUAAAGCUCUAUCAGCAGGGAAGAAAAUGACGGUACCUGACUAAGAAGCCCCGGCUAACUACGUGCCAGCAGCCGCGGUAAUACGUAGGUGGCAAGCGUUGUCCGGAUUUAUUGGGCGUAAAGCGAGUGCAGGCGGUGCAAUAAGU